GUUUUCACCCUAACUUUGCGCUUCCGCCCUUUGGGGAUCCUCCUGGAAUGGUCCACAGGCAUCUAUAUCUGCUGUUUCCCAAUCCCACCAGCAAGGGGCGCGCGAGAUGAAACAGUUCUGUCCUGGGAUGUACCACUGAGGGGUAGCGGUAAGAUCACCCACUCUGAAAGGUACCAUUGGGAGAGGGCGUGUGACAACAGAGAGGGUCCCCUUACACCGCGUCGGGGAUGGACCACAGUUCCCAGCAGCGGCACUCAUGGCGCCACUGGGCCCAUCCCCAUUCGCUCCUCUUCGUCUUCCCACUGCUUUCGAAUCCGAAUGGACACCGGUAUUAAGCGGAAACUUUCUGCGUCUCUUUUCCAACUCCACCCCUUCCUAGCUGGGACGACUACGGAGCGAGAGACUGGCUGUCGGUUUGGUAAGUACGAAAAUUCCCGCUGUAAUAGAAUAAGAAGAAUGUGCUAGUGGAGAAGAGUGAAGAAAUGGCUACAGAAGGAACGAAAAGGCUAAGCCAAAGUGGAAACAACACCCAGUUGUGGAUGUGUCUGCUGGUGAAAGUAAAGUCUGAUGCUAAAAGAACAAUAUUGUACAGGAACCAGAGAUAUAUUCAGAGAAAUGAGUUACCAGUUCAGAGACUUAAAUGUGCAGUGCUCCAAGCAAAAACAAUGGAAACAGAGAGACCCUGUGGUUCCAAGACUCUACCUUAGUGGCGGGAAAUCCUCAGCCUGCACUGCACACGCCAAACUCAGGGAGCAUGCUCAGUGUGUGCGCACACCCCUUGCUGUGCACGCGCCUUGGUGCGCAUCCGCCUUCCUGAGCGCAUUCUGUGAGGAGCGUUGGGCCUGAGACAGGUGUGUUUAUUCAGUCCCGGUUCUUUCUCACUACUUGAGACUCGCCAGGUAGGUUUACAGAUCUGUCCUGUCUGGAGUUUAAGUGUGCAUGCGUGUGAGGGGGAGCCAGUGAGUUUUGGGCGGGUCGGGCAGUGCCAUGUGGGGCCUUUGAGGAGGAAGGCCCUCGAGGUCGUCAUCUUUCUCCUCACAGGUGUUGCGAUGCCAUACUUCUUGUCUUGGUGGCGGGAAAGGAAGGGCGGUGGGCAGAGGAGAGCAGGGGGUCAGAUGACAGUGGGGGGAGACUUGGGGGUGCUGUUUGAGAUAUCUGGCUCAUGGGGGCCCUGGAACUGACGACAGAGCACAGAAUCUGGGGCCCGCAGUGGGACCUGGGCAGCGGGCGGGGUGGGCAAUUAAGGAAAGGCCUAGAAACCGGACCACGGUGGGGUUGUGACCGUAUCGCGAGGUUUGCGUUAAGGUGCCAAGAGAGAAGUGGACCGGUUUCUCUGUAUGCAGACUCACCUCAGCCACAGACGCUGAGAAAAUCGCCAUAGACAGGCUGUAAAGACUGAGCCUUUCUUCCCGUUCCAACCGAUUUCCAAGGGAGUUGGGGAAAAUAGGUCCGGUGAAUAAGAGUGUGACAAAAGCAAUAGUCCUGAAUUUUUAAAUUCCUAGCAGCAUUUCACUAAAUAUCUACAUGAUGGAGAAUUCUGUUGUGAAAUCAAACUUCCUCACAAAAAUUCUGUCUUCCUGUGUACCUUAAGGUGAUUUCUCUGCCGUCUUAGCCAAGACACAAGUGGCUUUGCAAGAAACCGUCUUUGGUGUAAUUGGAACGCAUGUACACUCAUACUUAACCCGAGUUUUGUUUUGAAAUCAUUUUCACAUUUUUAAAAAUAGUAAGUCAACAUAUGGUCAUAAAAGUGACAAAUAUAGCUGUACUCUUAAAUACAUUUUCUAAAUCACAAUAUUCUACUUUUGGGAAGAAAUAUGAGUGAGCAAGUAGCAUCAACAUUGAGACC
rnacentral:lncRNA from 1 species